rnacentral:rRNA from 1 species
UACGGGAGCAGCAGUGGGGAAUAUUGCACAAUGGGCGCAAGCCUGAUGCAGCCAUGCCGCGUGUAUGAAAAAGGCCUUCGGGUUGUAAAGUACUUUCAGUCGUGAGGAAGGUGUUAAGGUUAAUAACCUUAGCAAUUGACGUUAGCGACAGAAGAAGCACCGGCUAACUCCGUGCCAGCAGCCGCGGUAAUACGGAGGGUGCGAGCGUUAAUCGGAAUUACUGGGCGUAAAGGGCACGCAGGCGGUUAAUUAAGUUGGAUGUGAAUCCCCGGGCUUAACCUGGGAAUGGCAUUCAAGACUGGUUAGCUAGAGUCUUGUAGAGGGGGUAGAAUUCCAUGUGUAGCGGUGAAAUGCGUAGAGAUGUGGAGGAAUACCGGUGGCGAAGGCGGCCCCUGGACAAAGACUGACGCUCAUGUGCGAAAGCGUGGGGAGCAAACAGGGAUUAGAUACC